ensembl:lncRNA
GCGGUCUGGGGCUCUCUGCCGGGAUCUCUCGGGGUGGAGGUGUUUGUGUUCGCCAAACCAGGGGUGGGGUUGCGGUGGUGGUGGUGGACCCCUUCUGGUGGUGGUGGUGGUGGUGGUGGUUGGGUGGUGGUGGUGUUGUCCUGGUGGUGGACCCCUUCUGCUGGUGGUGGUGGUUGGGUGGUGGUGGGGUUGUCCUGGUGGUGGCCCCCUUCUGGUGCUGGUGGUGGUGGUUGGGUGGUGGUGGUGUUGUCCUGGUGGUGGACCCCUUCUGCUGGUGGUGGUGGUUGGGUGGUGGUGGUGUUGUCCUGGUGGUGGACCCCUUCUGCUGGUGGUGGUGGUUGGGUGGUGGUGGUGUUGUCCUGGUGGUGGACCCCUUCUGGUGGUGGUGGUGGUGGUGGUGUGCUGUUGGCGGUUGGGUGGUGGUGGUGGUGUCGUCCCGGCGGUCACCUUGCGGUGGUGGGGAUGGUGGUGGAGGUGGGGUCACGGUGGUGGUGGUGGUGGAGGUGGUGGUGGUGGUGGAGGUGGCGGUGGGGGUGCUGUCGCGGCGGACCUCUUGCAGUGCGACCACGGCGUCGGGGGCUGGCGGUCGCCGUGGAGAAGGCUCUUGAUUGGUUGCCGUGGUGACCGUCCCCGCCGCCCCGCCGCUAGAGGAACAGAGGACCGGCAGCCAGAGAGGAAGAGCGGCGAGGCAGAGGAGAAGGGGAGUCCUGGGUCUGGUCAUCGUCUGUCCGUCGGGCCGUCCGACAGACAGGCAGUCACAGAGUAAGGCGAAGGGAGGCAGACAGAGCGAUAACGUUAAAAGUUGAACUAUAAAAACGACUUCCCGUGUAAUAAUCAAGCUUUAAAUGAACAAUAAAAGCUCUGAAAACAUAGACGUGAACGUACCGAUUGAUGAGGCUUCACUUCAUCUCGUAGCUCC